rnacentral:misc_RNA from 1 species
AUAAUAUGUUGUUUGUAACACUAACCGGGCAGUCGUGCUUUCGAUGAGUAAAUAGACGAGGCCGUUGCGUUCUACGGUGAAGUUCUUCAUUUAUACCAGCAUUUUCGAUUGUGGAUUUUUUAAAUAAAAAAAAAACCGCUUGAUAGUGACCAAAGGAAUUAAAUUUACUUAGAUAUUUGGGAUAUAUUUUUUCCAUUAGAUUCAAAACGGUCACUUCAAAACUACAGAUGUUAGACAGAGUUACAAUGGAAGCAUCUGCGUCCGGUCUCACAGCCAUCCACUCCCAUCGAUGACUUAGGACGGAGGAGCCGCCUAUUGAUCCAGCCGUAUAAAAUUUCAAAAAAUUCUGCUCGAUGUUUCAAUUCUCUUUCUUCUGAACUGCCAUCUUUGCUUAAGCGAACAAUCGCACCAAUUCGAUUCCCAUUCGGAAUACCCUCUGGAAUUUGGUGUAUAUUCGUUUUCUUGCAUGUACAACAUGAUCACGAUGAGGCGCGUUAAGUCACACCUCUCUCGAUUGCCUCUGGAAGCUCUGAGACAGCUACGGAUACAUUAAAUCGUUAGAUAAUGCCAGGCUGCACCUAGGGGUGGAUCACUUAUCAUGUGGCUAUUUUAUUCAACUACAAAGAAUGGGGCAAAGACGUAAUAUAGUAGAGAGGGCGAGUGCCUGAAAUCAGUGCGCGUCCGGUUCUGAAAAUACCAACGCUGACGCUAUAAACCAACCACGUGAUCAAGUUUUUUUUUCAAAGUGAGAAAAAUUAACACCGAGAAAGUGAUAACCCAUACAACUCUUUACGAACACAAAAAGGGAGUGUUUACAUUGCUAUAACUAGCCCGCCCAUACCAAAAAAGAGAAGAAAAACGAAGGACACGUAAGCUUGAAAUUCUAGAUGACAAAUGGCAACAGUUCACGCCGUCACAAUGUCGGCGACGUUUUGCGAUGAAG